CUAACUGACAAUCUGGUGUCUUUUCUCUCUUUUGCCAGCAUGCCUGCCUCCAACAUUCUCCUCCUCUUCUGAUUGGCAGCUGCUAGUCUGGUGAGGUCUGAGAAUCCAGAUAGCCUCACUUGUCACAAUACAGUCUAAAGUAAAACUGAGUGGGUUCCCUGGAAGGAACUAAUGUGCUCACCAAGGAGUAAAGCACAUGAACCUUAGUGCAUAGAUUCUGUGACACAUUUGGACCGCUCAACUGUUGCUCUGAAAAUAUUCUUUUUGCUUCUUAGCAAGAGUUUUAGAUGAUUGCAGUUGGUAGAUAAACAACUUCCUAAGUCAGGUUAUAUCAAGUUUUGGUCUUGCCCUCCAACACUAGUGUUAAAAAAGUCUGCUGCAAUAUGUUAGGUGACUUAACAAAGCUGCUCACCUCAUUAUUAAGCUCUCUUCUCAACCUCACAGAACUCCAAUCAUUGAAAUCCUGAACUCUUUUUGGUAGUGCAUUAGUGUUAAGUAAAUUGCACACCUUUUGCAGAAUUCAUUUUUACUUAAUCAUUCUAAUUGUGUUGGGGCUAUUUUGUUGUUCUUUGUUUUUUUUUUUUUUUUUUGAAAAAAUCAAUACCUAAGUUUCCUGGCUAAGAGAGUCAUUGCAAGGAUACUGGGGCAUAUAUGUAAUAUAAGAAUGCCUAUUCAGUAAUUUGUGUAGUGAAGACAACUCUCAUAUAACCAAUCGUGAUGUGAAAAAGACACCCUUGAGCUUAUAUACUUAAACACACAAGUAGGUUUACAAACCCUGGGGUUCCUGUGGGCUCAGAGACUUACAGUUCGGGCUCAAUAUGUUCAUCCCCCACAAAGAAGGCAUCUGGGAGAGGCGUGCUUAUGAUGUGCUCCCUGAGUCUGUCCUGCUAGAGCAUUGUUCACACCAGUUGGUGACAGGAUGUUUAACCAUUCUAAGUUCAAGUACUACAGCCCCAGGGGCCAUAUCCCUCUCGUUCACAUUUGGGUACCUCCAUCACUUAUCCCUGGCACACUGUGUGUGCCAGCGGUAGCCAUCCGGUAGAUAUUGGACAAGAUACUGUCAUAGCCACAGGACAGAGUCUUUAAUUCUACUUGGGGUUCAGGUGUGGGGUAAGGCAAUUCAGGGAAAGUUUUACAGAGAACAGAGUGCUUCAGCUGGCCAUUCAUAGGUAAGAAGAAUUUGCCAAGUAGGCAAAGUGGAAAGCGGUUCUCAGAAAAGGAAAAGACUCUUUAAGUAGCAAAGUGUGAAGAAAACAAAAAUGGACAUUGAGAAGUAUUGAGCCCACUUUCUACACCAUGAACUAGUGACUAGUGAACUAUGACAGCUGACAAAAACAUUCAAAUGGGAUCUCAAUGUAGUUAGGUUGUUAUGUCUCUCAGUCUCUUAGAGAAGCACUGUCCAAUAAAAAUACAAAGCUAGCCAUAAAUGUGAGUUACAAAGGCACUUUAAAAUUUUCUGAUAGCCAAUUUUUUUAAAUACAAAGAAACAGGUAAAAUUAAUUUUAAUAAUAUAUUUCACCUAUAAUAUCAAAAAUAUCAUUCUGUGUGUACACACAUAAAAUUAUUCAUUAGAUAUUUUACAUUCUUUCACGCUAAGUUUUUAAUAUCCAGUGUGGUUUUUACACUCCUAACCUAUCUGGAUUUGGACUAGUCACCCUCAAGUGCUUAACAGCCACAUGUGGCCAGUGGCUACCACGUGGACAGUGCAGCUCUAGGGGACAAAUGAAGUCUUUAAUAGUACAGUUAAAGGAAGAUUUAAGAUGAAAAUCUAAAUCUUGUGAAAUCUGUGAUUUUAUUUGUGUUGAUUACAGGUGUUUAGCUAUGUUACAAAGAUCACUUUCUUGUGUCUAAGCUUUUAUGCCAAUUAGAGAAUCAGCAAAGUUUACAUUUUAUGUACUGUGUCUUCAUUAACCAUACUGUAGUUACAGCUACUUCUAGUUCUAAUAACUCUGGUGGUAGACUGUCAGUGUAAACUGGCUUUAUAGCAGGAAUAAAACUCUAUAAAUUUGGGGUUGAAUAAACUUUAAAAAAAUCUUCCUUAGAACACAGAACUACCCCUACGCUCUUACUGUCAAGCAUCUUCCUGGCAAUAGAAGCCUAAGAUUUUGCCCUUCAAUUCUUCCAUUCCCAGUUACUUGUAGAGUAUAAAUGUACCCCAGUCUUUGUUUGAGGCAGUGACCUGCUGGAAGCUGCAGCAGUAAGGAUGUGCUGCAGUGCCCUGAGUACUGAGAAAGGUCUGAAGAGCUAAGAUGAAGAUGUUUAAACACCCUGUCUGCAGGUUACUGUGCAGUUUUCCCUAAUGAGCCUGGAGCCCUUUUACUUUCAGUGGGGCAUGAGUGCCAAGGACUGGCAAAAUGAGGACACUCAGAUUCUACAAUAAAAUGAAUCCUGAAAGCUGGAUCUUUUUUUUUUUUUUUUUUUUUUUUUGGCUUUUUAGGGCUGUACCUGCGGCAUAUGAAAGUUCCCAGGCCAGGGGUCAAAUUGGAGCUGCAGCUGCUGGCCACAGCCACGGCCACAGCAAUGCAGGAUCUGUGACCUACACUACAGCUCCUGGCAACACCAGAUCCUUAACUCACUGAGCAAGGUCAGGGUUCAAAUCUGCAUCCUCAUGGAUUCUAGUUGGGUUCGUUAACUGUUGAGCCACGAAGGGAACUCCAAAAAGCUAGAUCUUAAAAACAAAACAAAACAAAAAACCCUGACAGUGAUUGCAUACAAGCAUUUAAAAGUGUGUAAGGAAAGGGCAGAUACUUUAAUGGAAGGCAAACAUGGAUGCUCCCCAAACAAGAAAUGUCUGGUAUAGUUAAGCAGUCCAAAAAGCUAAUAAAUCCCAAUGAAACUAAGAAAAACCUGCCAAUUUUGAUGCCAUAGCAACUUAAUAAAAUUUACAACUGAAAGUAAAUAUUGCUAUAACUGGAUCACCUUGCUCUAUACCUGAAAUUAACACAACAUUGUAAAUCAAAUGUAUUUCAAUUAAAAAAAUAAAAAUUAAGAAAAGAAAGCAAAUAUAACAUGGAAUCCUAUCCUUUCACAUAGAAAUGGGUCAAGUAGAUCUCAUUAAGCAUUCUUACCAUAAAUGAACACAAAAUUUAUUUUUGGGAUUUCACAAAUAUACAUUUGUAUAAUAAUAAAUCAUUUGGGUAAA
rnacentral:lncRNA from 1 species